CCUGCACUGGACUUGACACCACUUAUUUGUUUCCUGAUGUGUUGGGGUCACUCCCACUGGAAUGGAAUAAAAAGGAAAG